rnacentral:misc_RNA from 1 species
GAUGAAGAACGUAGCGAAAUGCGAUACGUAAUGUGAAUUGCAGAAUUCAGUGAAUCAUCGAGUCUUUGAACGCACAUUGCGCCCCCUGGUAUUCCGGGGGGCAUGCCUGUCCGAGCGUCAUUGCUGCCCUCAAGCACGGCUUGUGUGUUGGGCCUCCGUCCUCCUCCCGGGGGACGGGCCCGAAAGGCAGCGGCGGCACCGCGUCCGGUCCUCGAGCGUAUGGGGCUUCGUCACCCGCUCUUGUAGGCCCGGCCGGCGCUUGCCGACACAUCAAUCUUUUUUCCAGGUUGACCUCGGAUCAGGUAGGGAUACCCGCUGAACUUAAGCAUAUCAAUAAGCGGGGGA